rnacentral:lncRNA from 1 species
GACGGAAUGAAGAUUCCAACAUAUAAAUUUUUGCCUCUUAUGUACCAAUUGGCUGCUAGAAUGGGGACCAAGAUGAUGGGAGGCCUAGGAUUUCAUGAAGUCCUCAAUAAUCUAAUCUCUAGAAUUUCAAUGGAUCACCCCCAUCAUACUUUGUUUAUUAUACUGGCCUUAGCAAAUGCAAACAGAGAUGAAUUUCUGACUAAACCAGAGGUAGCCAGAAGAAGCAGAAUAACUAAAAAUGUGCCUAAACAAAGCUCUCAGCUUGAUGAGGAUCGAACAGAGGCUGCAAAUAGAAUAAUAUGUACUAUCAGAAGUAGGAGACCUCAGAUGGUCAGAAGUGUUGAGGCACUUUGUGAUGCUUAUAUUAUAUUAGCAAACUUAGAUGCCACUCAGUGGAAGACUCAGAGAAGUAUGUGUUUCAAAGAAGAAACUUUACUUUCUUGCUGUGUUACUCUCUGUAGAGAUAUAUUAGUUAUAGAGCCUAAUAAGUAAAUCUGCUUAAAAUCACAAACGUAAUCCAAAAGCUUAAUUUAUAUCUGAUAGCUUCAACAUUCCCUGG